rnacentral:rRNA from 1 species
UACGGGGGGGCGAAGCGUUGUUCGGUAAUUACGUGGGCGUAAAGGGCUCGUAGGUGGCCAACUAAGUCGGACGUGAAAUCCCUCAGCUUAACUGGGGACUGCGUCCGAUACUGGAUGGCUCGAGUUUGGGAGAGGGAUGCGGAAUUCCAGGUGGUAUGCGGUGAAAUGCGUAGAUAUCUGGAGGAACACCGGUGGCGAAGGCGGCAUCCUGGACCAACACUGACACUGAGGAGC